AGUUGGAGAUAUCGUAAUGAUGAAAGGAGAGGAUGCACACAGGAACGAGUGGAGAUUAGGUAGCGUUUUAGAAACUACUAUUGACAAAGACGGACUAGUAAGGAGAGUUAAGAUCUGCCUCGGUGACAGGAAUCUUGGCAAGAAAGGAGAGCGUCUCCAUAAGAUGUCUGAAGUCGAGCGCCCUGUCCAAAGGCUAGUCCUGCUAUUGGAGACUAAUUAAACUUGUUCUCUCUUUACAUAAUUUGUUUUUGCACUUUCAUGAGGAAGGUCAUUUUUUUGUUAGAAAUCAUUCGUGUUUAAUGUUAACUGUAUACUGUUCCAUUAUGGACUCCUGAUUGGUGGGAGUGUAAAUAAUUCUUAUGAAGGUCUGUUAAAAUAACCACUUUCACCAUGCUUUUAUUUUGAUACUGUAUUUUGCCGUCAUGGGUCUUUUAUUUUGACGCAGGAAGUUUGAAUCUACAGUAGGUAACUUGACUUGAAGGAGAUCACGCGAUAAGGUUAUUACGUGUAAUUACGGAAGGAAUUCAGGCUACAAACGGUUGCUCUGCAUAACAAUUUGUAGUAAUUAAUAAGUGCCUAGCUGGAAUGGGAACAAGCUCUUACGGUGUUUAUGAAGAAAGAUGUGAAGAAAGGAAUAUUUAUGCUCAAAACAAGGCUGACGGCUGAACGUAAAUAAAGGCUUCUGAAACAUC